rnacentral:rRNA from 1 species
CUACGGGGCGCUGCAGUGGGGAAUAUUGCACAAUGGGCGCAAGCCUGAUGCAGCCAUGCCGCGUGUAUGAAGAAGGCCUUCGGGUUGUAAAGUACUUUCAGCGGGGAGGAAGGGAGUAAAGUUAAUACCUUUGCUCAUUGACGUUACCCGCAGAAGAAGCACCGGCUAACUCCGUGCCAGCAGCCGCGGUAAUACGGAGGGUGCAAGCGGUAAUCGGAAUUACUGGGCGUAAAGCGCACGCAGGCGGUUUGUUAAGUCAGAUGUGAAAUCCCCGGGCUCAACCUGGGAACUGCAUCUGAUACUGGCAAGCUUGAGUCUCGUAGAGGGGGGUAGAAUUCCAGGUGUAGCGGUGACAUGCGUAGAGAUCUGGAGGAAUACCGGUGGCGAAGGCGGCCCCCUGGACGAAGACUGACGCUCAGGUGCGAAAGCGUGGGGAGCAAACAGGAUUAGAUACCCGGGUAGUC